GCUUCGCAAAGCCCUAUUCAAUCAAAGUUCAUCAGCAGUCACGCUGCGGCCUGGAGAAGAGGCCAGGCCGAGCACGAGCCCCGGAGGAGAUGGGGCAGGAACUGGGGCUCCUGCAGGCACCCCGCUCCCCGCUUCCCGGGCGAGAGCCCCUUGCCGACACCUGUUGAAGCACGAAGACAGACCUCAGGCCAGACCCCUCGACCUCUCGAGCCUGGCCACCUUCACUGCAUAGCAACUGCCCCUCGGGUGCUCAGUCUCGGACGCCUCCGAAGUUUCUAAGGGCAGUGACUGCUGAGUGCUUCCAGCGCUGUAAUUUGUAGGUUGUCGCGGGGAUGAAUGGGGCUCGAGAGACAUCAGAGAUCAUCCUGCCGGGGGCCCCGGAGGCCAGAUUUCUCAGGGUUAGACUCGGCGAUUCACCAGGUAGCCAGGUGGCCUGGGGCACCUGCUUCACCUCUUCCUGCCACAGCUCGGCAUCCGCGUGAAGCAACAGAGGUUCAGGAAGUUUAGAGAUACUUCCAAAUCCAGCUAGCACACAUCAGAGGAGACAUCUGGAAAGUUUAAUUACCUAAUUAAAAACAGAAUUUCCUCCAAACCUCUCUCCAUAUAUUUAUUUAUUUAUUUAUUUAUUUAUUUAUUACAGUCUCUUCCUCCAUUCAUCCAUCUAUGGGCCCUUAGGUUGUUUCCAUAUCUUGGCUAUUGUAAAUAAUGUUGCAAUGAACAUGGGUGCAUAUAUCUUUUCAAGUUACUGUUUGUUGCCCAGGUUAUUACAGGAUAUUGAAUAUAGUUCCCUGUGCUAUCCAGUAAAUCCUUGUUGUUUAUUUUACAUAUAGUAGUGUGUAUCUGUUAAUCCCAUAGUCUUAAUUUAUCCUUCCUCCCUUCCCUUUUGGUAACCAAAAGUUUCUUUUCUAUGUCUGUGAGUCUGUUUCUGUUUUGUAAAUAAGUUCAUUUGUACUAUUUUUUAGAUUCCACAUAUAAGUGAUAUCAUAUAAUAUUUGUCUUUCUCUGUCUGACUUACUUCACUUAGUAUGAUCAUCUCUAGGUCCAUCCAUGUCGCUGCAGAUGGCGUUAUUUCAUUCUUUUUUAUGGCUGAGCCGUAUUCCA